GUCCCCAAGUUGGCCUGGGGAGCAGGAGGCUCGCAUUAGAAGUUCCACUGAAGUCUGAUGCACCUAUCACACGUCAUAAGCCACAGCAUUAUCUGUCCAUCCAUUCAUCUAAAUUCCCCUGGUUCUGUUUCUGUGGAGAAUGGCGACUGUCACAUCAGAAGACCCCUUGAAAGGGACAGAGCUCCUUUUGGCAUGAGACACGGAAGGCAUGAAGAAGGUGCAGAGGGAGGCUGCCUGGCAGGGAACUGACAGCAUCUCCAGGGGCCAACAUCCCGUGAGACAACUGGGACCUCAGUUCUCCAACCCCAGGGAACGGGCUCUGCCAGGUCCAGCCUCCAGGUAAGAGCACAGCUGGCUGACACCCUGGUCUCAGGCUCUUGAGAUUGUGUAGAGAAUCCUGCCGAGCCCCGGAGACUGCUAGCCUGAGACUGUGCGAUGGUAAAGGGGUGCUGUCUUAAAAGCUGUCUGCAUUCAUUUUUUACGCAGCAGUAGGGAGCAAAUGCACACAUCCCUGUCCGGAUGGGACAACCAAAUGCUGGCCUGUCUUCUUUCCACCAAACAUCUGGAUGUAGUUGCUCCGAUGCUGUGAUCUAUGCAUCCUCCUCCUCCUGCCCACCAUGGUUCGGCUGUCAGGGUGAGAACCUGGAUCUAAACCUAGGUGGUCCAAUGCCUGAG
rnacentral:lncRNA from 1 species